UACGUAGGGGGCAAGCGUCGUCCGGAAUCAUUGGGCGUAAAGAGCGUGUAGGCGGCCAGAAAAGUCCGCUGUGAAAACUCGAGGCUCAACCUCGGGCUUGCAGUGGGUACGGGCAGACUAGAGUGCGGUAGGGGUGACUGGAAUUCCUGGUGUAGCGGUGGAAUGCGCAGAUAUCAGGAGGAACACCGAUGGCGAAGGCAGGUCACUGGGCCGCAACUGACGCUGAGGAGCGAAAGCAUGGGGAGCGAACAGG
rnacentral:rRNA from 1 species